rnacentral:rRNA from 1 species
UACGAAGGGGGCUAGCGUUGCUCGGAAUCCCUGGGCGUAAAGGGUGCGUAGGCGGGUCUUUAAGUCAGGGGGGAAAUCCUGGAGCUCAACUCCAGAACUGCCUUUGAUACUGAAGAUCUUGAGUGCGGGAGAGGUGAGUGGAACUGCGAGUGUAGAGGUGAAAUUCGUAGAUAUUCGCAAGAACACCAGUGGCGAAGGCGGCUCACUGGCCCGAUACUGACGCUGAGGCACGAAAGCGUGGGGAGCAAACAGG